CGCGGGGUGGAGCAGCCCGGUAGCUCGUCAGGCUCAUAACCUGAAGGUCACAGGUUCAAAUCCUGUCCCCGCAACC
rnacentral:tRNA from 1 species